rnacentral:rRNA from 1 species
AGUGAACGCUGGCGGUAGGCCUAACACAUGCAAGUCGAACGGCAGCACAGUAAGAGCUUGCUCUUACGGGUGGCGAGUGGCGGACGGGUGAGGAAUACAUCGGAAUCUACUUUUUCGUGGGGGAUAACGUAGGGAAACUUACGCUAAUACCGCAUACGACCUACGGGUGAAAGCAGGGGAUCUUCGGACCUUGCGCGAUUGAAUGAGCCGAUGUCGGAUUAGCUAGUUGGCGGGGUAAAGGCCCACCAAGGCGACGAUCCGUAGCUGGUCUGAGAGGAUGAUCAGCCACACUGGAACUGAGACACGGUCCAGACUCCUACGGGAGGCAGCAGUGGGGAAUAUUGGACGAUGGGCGCAAGCCUGAUCCAGGCAUACCGCGUGGGUGAAGAAGGCCUUCGGGUUGUAAAGCCCUUUUGUUGGGAAAGAAAAGCAGCAGGUUAAUACCCCGCUGUUCUGACGGUACCCAAAGAAUAAGCACCGGCUAACUUCGUG